CCCAAACAUUUCAACUACAGCCACCAACAAUUAAUGAAUAUUUUUGGUGAUAUUUCACUAACAAUACCUUCCAGGGCCAUAGCUAUUGGGGGUGGGGGGUGGGGGGGGUGUGGUUGUGACUCCAUAAAAUAUAUUGUUGGCAAAUCAUUUUUGUAUAGUGCAGAAAAUAUUUGAGUGAAAGUAAUAGUUAUAGCUAAAAUUUUGAUAAAUUUAUGAAAAUACUACCAAAAAAUUUAAGAAAUGACACUAUAUUAAUUGGAGAGUUACUGAAGAAUGGUAUAUUCGGAAAAUUUUUUACUUCCCCCUGCCUUGGGAAAAGAAAGAUUAAUGGACCUAUUCCCUAAUGAACAAAAUUUUGAUCUAGACAAGCCCCUUCGUUACGGCCCUGAUGUCUCCAUGCACUCACCAGAGUUUUAGUUGUCAAUAAGUAUUGCUAUAUGUAUAAAUAUAAUUUAUUAAUGUGAAUAUUUAAAUAGUGCAUGCAAAAUUACACAAAUCAGGCCUGUCUUGGACCUUAAAGUUGACAGUUUACCAGGUAACAAUGUAUGCAAGGCCUGCUUUCUUAAAAUAUAAUUUAUCAAUAAUUGUCAUAAUUAAAUAAUAUUAUACAUUGAAAAUGUUCAAUAAUUUAUAUAUAUCUUAAGGGGAAUAAUAUCUUAAGGCCAAUAUCGGCAUUAAAUUAUGUGCCAUUGGCCAGAAUAAAGAGUUUUGAGUUUUUAAUGAACCUCAAACUGUUUUAUAUACAAAUAACUGACUUUCAUAAUUUAAAAACUUGUCUUGUAAAUAAUGAUGAUGUAAAUAACUUAAUUAUUAAAAAUUAGUAUAAGAAAUUGUCAAAAUGGGUUAUUCCAGAAAACAUCCAUACUUCCCGGACAGAGGAAAUUAAAUAUUAACCUCCUUACCCCCUUCAGAUAUCUCCUGAUACACUAACUAUUAUCAGAAUCACAUUUUUCUUCCUCUGCCCCUCUGGAUGGCAAAAGUUUCCCUCUGUUGGGGGAAGUGUGGAUAUUUUCUGGAAUGGCCCAAUGUCAUGUAGUUAAAACUUUUUUUGAAAUAUGUUUGCCAACAUUUGUGUUUGCUGUUGCUGUUGUUGCAUCAGAGCAAUCAUUUGUUGCUGCAUAAAUUCAAAUUCUUGCUGCUGCUGUUGCUGCUGCAUUUGCUGCUGGAGAUAUUGCUCAGAAAGCUUCAUCUGCAUGCCAAAUUGCUGUUGUGUUUGCUGCAUCCCUUGCAAAAUUUCCAAAUGUUGCAUCCUUUGUGCUUCCAUAUGUUCUCUCUUCUCGG